rnacentral:rRNA from 1 species
GUUGAACGCUGGCGGCAUGCCUUACACAUGCAAGUCGAACGGUAACAGGCCGCAAGGUGCUGACGAGUGGCGAACGGGUGAGUAAUGCAUCGGAACGUGCCCAGUAGUGGGGGAUAGCCCGGCGAAAGCCGGAUUAAUACCGCAUACGACCUGAGGGUGAAAGGGGGGGAUCGCAAGACCUCUCGCUAUUGGAGCGGCCGAUGUCAGAUUAGCUAGUUGGUGGGGUAAAGGCCUACCAAGGCAACGAUCUGUAGUUGGUCUGAGAGGACGACCAGCCACACUGGGACUGAGACACGGCCCAGACUCCUACGGGAGGCAGCAGUGGGGAAUUUUGGACAAUGGGCGCAAGCCUGAUCCAGCAAUGCCGCGUGCAGGAAGAAGGCCUUCGGGUUGUAAACUGCUUUUGUCAGGGAAGAGAUCUUCUGGGUUAAUACCUCGGGAGGAUGACGGUACCUGAAGAAUAAGCACCGGCUAACUACGUGCCAGCCGCCGCGGUAAUAC